rnacentral:rRNA from 1 species
UACGUAGGGUGCGAGCGUUGUCCGGAAUUACUGGGCGUAAAGAGCUCGUAGGUGGUUUGUCGCGUUGUUCGUGAAAACUCACAGCUUAACUGUGGGCGUGCGGGCGAUACGGGCAGACUGGAGUACUGCAGGGGAGACUGGAAUUCCUGGUGUAGCGGCGAAAUGCGCAGAUAUCAGGAGGAACACCGAUGGCGAAGGCAGGUCUCUGGGCAUUAACUGACGCUGAGGAGCGAAAGCAUGGGGAGCGAACAGG